AAGGAAUUGCAUUUGUUAAUUUUGAGAGCCAAGAAGAUGCUGACAAGUUGAUUGAGGAGAAGUUUGUUACUAUGGAUGACAUUAAGCUGGAAAUUAGAAAACCAAAAGAAGUCAAAGGAAGUAGUAACCAAGAUGAACCAAUUAUUUCUGUUCCCAGAGAGGCUCUGAGUUGCUAUGUUUGUAAAAAGGAUAAAUUCCCAUCUCUUCGGAUAUUCUUCAAUCACAAACAAGGGGAAGCAGCAUCGAUUUCUGCUCAAGAUGUUUAGAGCAAAAAGUGCUUCAGUACUUCAGCUUUGAGAGCAGAGUCAAAG